rnacentral:lncRNA from 1 species
UUAAUUGCAUACAUGUUUCUAUAAACAUAGUAAAUUACAAAUACAUUUCUACAAAAUUUAACUUUUAUAUGUUAUUUUCGCAAAAGUUUUAAUAUUUUUAAAUAUAUCACUCUGUUUUGUUACCGUUAGAGAACUAUUUAUUUUUUAACAGAAGAUAAGUAAAAUGUCGAUUUUAUUAUCAUAAAUACGUCCCUCCAAAAGCCCCAACUAGUAUAAUCGUGUAAAAUUGUCAUCUCAAAAAACUUUCAAUGGUCAUCUUCUUCCUCUUCUUUUUUCUCUUUAAAACCCAAUCCGAUCCAUUAUUGUUUGCAAUCUCUUAUCUCAUUCCUUUUCUCUUAAAUCUUUUCAUUAAAGCAUUAUUAUUGCAACCUCUUAUCUCAUUCAUUUUCUCCUAAAUCUUUUCUUUAAAGCAAAAUAAGAAAAAAUUAUAAAAAAAAUUGAAGGAAGCAACAUGCUUUUGAUAUUGGCGAAGCAACACGCGUUGUGGAUGAAUGGAUUGGAGAAAUUCUAGUUACGAUUUUAAAACUAGCACAAAGGAGAGAAAGGAAGAGGAAGAGGAAAAGGAGGAAGAAGAAGAGUUUUCAUUGCUAGAAUUUUUAUUGAGAGAAAAAGACAUAAUAUAAAAGGAAUAAAAAUAUUAAUUUAUCUUAUUGACUAAUCAGGAUUAAGUAUUUUAUCUAUGGUUAAUUAAAAUUUUUUAAUAGAUCCUAAGAAGGACAAUAUUUGAAAAUAUUAGCAUUUUUGUAGAAACAAUAUAUGAAAAUUAAAUUUUGUAGAGAUAUAUUUAUAAUUCAUUAUAUUUGUAGAUACCUGUAUGUAAUUAAUCCUAUUUUAUAAGGGCAAUAUUGUAAGAAACUAUCCAAAAAAUAAAACAAAAUAAAACUAACUAUGGCACAAAUAACAGAUUAAUCCACACAGCUCUUAUGGAUCUCAAUUUUCUUCUCAAUUCCAAAAUUUUUUGU